rnacentral:rRNA from 1 species
CCUACGGGUGGCAGCAGUCGAGAAUCAUUCACAAUGGGGGAAACCCUGAUGGUGCGACGCCGCGUGGGGGAAUGAAGGUCUUCGGAUUGUAAACCCCUGUCAUGUGGGAGCAAAUUAAAAAGAUAGUACCACAAGAGGAAGAGACGGCUAACUCUGUGCCAGCAGCCGCGGUCAUACAGAGGUCUCAAGCGUUGUUCGGAAUCACUGGGCGUAAAGCGUGCGUAGGCUGUUUCGUAAGUCGUGUGUGAAAGGCGCGGGCUCAACCCGCUGACGGCACAUGAUACUGCGAGACUAGAGUAAUGGAGGGGGAACCGGAAUUCUCGGUGUAGCAGUGAAAUGCGUAGAUAUCGAGAGGAACACUCGUGGCGAAGGCGGGUUCCUGGACAUUAACUGACGCUGAGGCACGAAGGCCAGGGGAGCGAAAGGGAUUAGAUACCCUUGUAGUC